GAUGAACGCUGGCGGCGUGCCUAAUACAUGCAAGUCGAGCGAACGGACGAGAAGCUUGCUUCUCUGAUGUUAGCGGCGGACGGGUGAGUAACACGUGGAUAACCUACCUAUAAGACUGGGAUAACUUCGGGAAACCGGAGCUAAUACCGGAUAAUAUUUUGAACCGCAUGGUUCAAAAGUGAAAGACGGUCUUGCUGUCACUUAUAGAUGGAUCCGCGCUGCAUUAGCUAGUUGGUAAGGUAACGGCUUACCAAGGCAACGAUGCAUAGCCGACCUGAGAGGGUGAUCGGCCACACUGGAACUGAGACACGGUCCAGACUCCUACGGGAGGCAGCAGUAGGGAAUCUUCCGCAAUGGGCGAAAGCCUGACGGAGCAACGCCGCGUGAGUGAUGAAGGUCUUCGGAUCGUAAAACUCUGUUAUUAGGGAAGAACAUAUGUGUAAGUAACUGUGCACAUCUUGACGGUACCUAAUCAGAAAGCCACGGCUAACUACGUGCCAGCAGCCGCGGUAAUACGUAGGUGGCAAGCGUUAUCCGGAAUUAUUGGGCGUAAAGCGCGCGUAGGCGGUUUUUUAAGUCUGAUGUGAAAGCCCACGGCUCAACCGUGGAGGGUCAUUGGAAACUGGAAAACUUGAGUGCAGAAGAGGAAAGUGGAAUUCCAUGUGUAGCGGUGAAAUGCGCAGAGAUAUGGAGGAACACCAGUGGCGAAGGCGACUUUCUGGUCUGUAACUGACGCUGAUGUGCGAAAGCGUGGGGAUCAAACAGGAUUAGAUACCCUGGUAGUCCACGCCGUAAACGAUGAGUGCUAAGUGUUAGGGGGUUUCCGCCCCUUAGUGCUGCAGCUAACGCAUUAAGCACUCCGCCUGGGGAGUACGACCGCAAGGUUGAAACUCAAAGGAAUUGACGGGGACCCGCACAAGCGGUGGAGCAUGUGGUUUAAUUCGAAGCAACGCGAAGAACCUUACCAAAUCUUGACAUCCUUUGACAACUCUAGAGAUAGAGCCUUCCCCUUCGGGGGACAAAGUGACAGGUGGUGCAUGGUUGUCGUCAGCUCGUGUCGUGAGAUGUUGGGUUAAGUCCCGCAACGAGCGCAACCCUUAAGCUUAGUUGCCAUCAUUAAGUUGGGCACUCUAAGUUGACUGCCGGUGACAAACCGGAGGAAGGUGGGGAUGACGUCAAAUCAUCAUGCCCCUUAUGAUUUGGGCUACACACGUGCAACAAUGGGCAAUACAAAGGGCAGCGAAACCGCGAGGUCAAGCAAAUCCCAUAAAGUUGUUCUCAGUUCGGAUUGUAGUCUGCAACUCGACUACAUGAAGCUGGAAUCGCUAGUAAUCGUAGAUCAGCAUGCUACGGUGAAUACGUUCCCGGGUCU
rnacentral:rRNA from 1 species